UACGUAGGGGGCAAGCGUUGUCCGGAAUUAUUGGGCGUAAAGCGCUCGCAGGUGGUCCGCUGCGUCGUGCGUGAAAGACCCCGGCUCAACUGGGGAGUGUCGUGCGAUACGGGCGGCCUGGAGGGGGGUAGGGGCGUGCGGAACUGUGGGGUGGAGCGGUGAAAUGCGUUGAUAUCCACAGGAACUCCGGUGGCGAAGGCGGCACGCUGGACCCCACCUGACGCUGGAGGCGCGAAAGCCAGGGGAGCGAACGGG
rnacentral:rRNA from 1 species